AAUCAACGCUGGCGGCGUGCCUCAGACAUGCAAGUCGAACGCGAAAGUCCCCUUCGGGGGGGCGAGUAGAGUGGCGCACGGGUGAGUAACACGUAGGUAAUCUACCCCCGAGUGGGGAAUAACUCAGGGAAACUUGAGCUAAUACCGCAUAAUGCAGCGGCACCACAUGGUGACAGUUGUUAAAGCAUUUAUGCGCUUGGGGAGGAGCCUGCGGCAGAUUAGCUAGUUGGUAAGGUAAUGGCUUACCAAGGCUACGAUCUGUAACCGGCCUGAGAGGGCGGACGGUCACACUGACACUGAAUAACGGGUCAGACUCCUACGGGAGGCAGCAGUCGGGAA
rnacentral:rRNA from 1 species